rnacentral:tRNA from 1 species
GGACAGGCGGCUGUAGAAGUGUUGAGUAGUAACCUUAAUAAUAGGUAUUUACCUUCUGUUUA